rnacentral:rRNA from 1 species
GAUGAACGCUGGCGGCGUGCCUAACACAUGCAAGUCGAACGGAGAUUACGGACGGAAGUUUUCGGAUGGAAGACUGUAAUUCUUAGUGGCGGACGGGUGAGUAACGCGUGGGCAACCUGCCCUAUACAGGGGGAUAGCAGCUGGAAACGGCUGGUAAGACCGCAUAAGUCGGUUAAAUCGCAUGAUUUGAUCGGGAAAUGAGCAAUCAGGUAUAGGAUGGGCCCGCGUCCGAUUAGCCAGUUGGCAGGGUAAAAGCCUACCAAAGCAACGAUCGGUAGCCGGACUGAGAGGUCGGACGGCCACAUUGGGACUGAGACACGGCCCAAACUCCUACGGGAGGCAGCAGUGGGGGAUAUUGCACAAUGGAGGAAACUCUGAUGCAGCGACGCCGCGUGAGUAAAGAAGUAUUUCGGUAUGUAAAGCUCUAUCAGCAGGAAGAUGA